GACGAACGCUGGCGGCGUGCUUAACACAUGCAAGUCGAACGGUAAGGCUCCAGCUUGCUGGGGUACACGAGUGGCGAACGGGUGAGUAACACGUGGGUGACCUGCCCUGCACUUCGGGAUAAGCCUGGGAAACUGGGUCUAAUACCGGAUAGGACCGCACCGUGAGGGUGUGGUGGAAAGUUUUUUCGGUGUGGGAUGGGCCCGCGGCCUAUCAGCUUGUUGGUGGGGUAAUGGCCUACCAAGGCGGCGACGGGUAGCCGGCCUGAGAGGGUGGACGGCCACAUUGGGACUGAGACACGGCCCAGACUCCUACGGGAGGCAGCAGUGGGGAAUAUUGCACAAUGGGCGGAAGCCUGAUGCAGCGACGCCGCGUGGGGGAUGACGGCCUUCGGGUUGUAAACUCCUUUCACCAUCGACGAAGGGUUUCUGACGGUAGAUGGAGAAGAAGCACCGGCUAACUACGUGCCAGCAGCCGCGGUAAUACGUAGGGUGCGAGCGUUGUCCGGAAUUACUGGGCGUAAAGAGCUCGUAGGUGGUUUGUCGCGUCGUCUGUGAAAUUCCGGGGCUUAACUCCGGGCGUGCAGGCGAUACGGGCAUAACUUGAGUACUGUAGGGGAGACUGGAAUUCCUGGUGUAGCGGUGAAAUGCGCAGAUAUCAGGAGGAACACCGGUGGCGAAGGCGGGUCUCUGGGCAGUAACUGACGCUGAGGAGCGAAAGCAUGGGGAGCGAACAGGAUUAGAUACCCUGGUAGUCCAUGCCGUAAACGGUGGGCGCUAGGUGUGGGUUUCCUUCCACGGGAUCCGUGCCGUAGCUAACGCAUUAAGCGCCCCGCCUGGGGAGUACGGCCGCAAGGCUAAAACUCAAAGGAAUUGACGGGGGCCCGCACAAGCGGCGGAGCAUGUGGAUUAAUUCGGUGCAACGCGAAGAACCUUACCUGGGCUUGACAUAUACAGGAUCGCGCCAGAGAUGGUGUUUCCCUUGUGGCUUGUAUACAGGUGGUGCAUGGUUGUCGUCAGCUCGUGUCGUGAGAUGUUGGGUUAAGUCCCGCAACGAGCGCAACCCUUGUCUUAUGUUGCCAGCACGUUGUGGUGGGGACUCGUAAGAAACUGCCGGGGUUAACUCGGAGGAAGGUGGGGAUGACGUCAAAUCAUCAUGCCCCUUAUGUCCAGGGCUUCACACAUGCUACAAUGGUCGGUACAGUGGGUUGCCAGUCCGUGAGGGCGAGCUAAUCCCGCAAAGCCGGUCUCAGUUCGGAUCGGGGUCUGCAACUCGACCCCGUGAAGUCGGAGUCGCUAGUAAUCGCAGAUCAGCAACGCUGCGGUGAAUACGUUCCCGGGCCU
rnacentral:rRNA from 1 species